rnacentral:rRNA from 1 species
UGGGGAAUAUUGCGCAAUGGGGGCAACCCUGACGCAGCCAUGCCGCGUGUGUGAAGAAGGCCUUCGGGUUGUAAAGCACUUUCACUGGGGAAGAAAAGCUUGUCGUUAAUAGCGGCGAGCCGUGACAUUACCUUGAGAAGAAGCACCGGCUAACUCCGUGCCAGCAGCCGCGGUAAUACGGAGUGUGCGAGCGUUAAUCGGAAUUACUGGGCGUAAAGCGCGCGUAGGUGGUUUGUUAAGUCGGAUCUGAAAGCCGCGCGCCCAACCUGGGAUUGGCACCCGAUACUGGCCGACUGGAGUGCGAGAGAGGGAGGUAGAAUUCCACGUGUAGCGGUGAAAUGCGUAGAUAUGUGGAGGAAUACCGGUGGCGAAGGCGGCCUCCUGGCUCGACACUGACGCUGAGGUGCGAAAGCGUGGGGAGCAAACAGGAUUAGAUACCCCCGUAGUCC